UUAAAAUUCAAAGAGUUUAUAAUAUUAACAACAAGUAGACAUAUAAAAACAUAUCU
rnacentral:sRNA from 1 species